UUAAGCAAUGGAUACGUGAUCCUUACAAAAGAUGAAUCUGCCAUUUCAUAUGCAUGUGAUGAGGAUUAUAAGCCCAAAACAGAAGGAUGGUGGGACUACAUAACAUGUGAAAAUGGAAAAUGGUCUGAUACUCCACAAUGUAUUGAUAAAAAUCGCUGCAGGGAUCUGCCAGCAAUCGCAAAUGGAAGAGCCGAAAAAAACAAUAAAGAGUAUAGUCAUGGAGAUUAUGUUGAAGUUGAAUGUGAUGUAGGUUAUUCUACAAAAUGCAUCAGCGGAAGUCUGAAAGUACCAGCAUGCACCGCUCAAGAGGGCUGUGAUAAUACAACGGCAACUGGUAAAUCAAAUAAAGAUGCUGGUUCUGAUGACUGUGGCGUGGCAAAAUGUGUCAAUGGAGAAUGGCAGUUACCUCAAUGCAUUCAAAUCAUUUGCAAGAGGAUUCCAAAUGGUUCCUAUGCUAGG